GCCCGGGUGGCGGAACUGGUAGACGCGCUGGUCUCAAACACCAGUAGAUUUUAUUUCUAUGCCGGUUCGAUCCCGGCUCUGGGUA
rnacentral:tRNA from 1 species